rnacentral:misc_RNA from 1 species
GGUCGCUGCACAUGUGACAUUGAAGG